rnacentral:rRNA from 1 species
CCUACGGGUGGCAGCAGUGGGGAAUAUUGCACAAUGGGGGAAACCCUGAUGCAGCGACGCCGCGUGAGUGAAGAAGUAUUUCGGUAUGUAAAGCUCUGUCAGCAGGGAAGAAAAUGACGGUACCUGUCCCCGAAUCCGCGGCUAACGACGUGCCAGCAGCCGCGGCAAUACGUAGGGGGCAAGCGUUAUCCGGAUUUACUGGGUGUAAAGGGGGGGUAGACGGCAGGGCAAGUCUGGAGUGAAAGGCGGGGGCUCAACCCCCGGACUGCUCUGGAAACUGGCAGGCUGGAGUGCAGGAGAGGUAAGUGGAAUUCCUAGUGUAGCGGUGAAAUGCGUAGAUAUUAGGAGGAACACCAGUGGCGAAGGCGGCUUACUGGACUGUAACUGACGUUGAGGCUCGAAAGCGUGGGGAGCAAACAGGAUUAGAUACCCCAGUAGUC